CUAUUUAUCUCAACACACUCAACUGAUCAUUUCUUUUUCUUGGUUUUUCUCCUUUAGGAAAGAAUUUUAAGAAAAUAUUUACUUCAAGACUUAAAUACAGAACCUGGUGAACAGAGUAAAAAGGACCAGAAAACUAUCCAUUCUACCACGAACAAACAAUAGGCUGUGGAAUUCAUUACUAAACAGUCACAGAGAAAAUGAUUUAACCCACCGGCAGCAAACGUUAACACGCAUUUCCAGAUAUACUGGACCUACUCUCUCUAGCAUGGUGAAUCUGGCAGCACCGUGCUAGCAUGGAGGAGCCUAGCCCAGGAGGCCAUGAGACAAAAACAGGCAUUCUGCAUGGAGGCUUGCAGUGCCAGCGUUACAGAUACAACACAAAUGUUCCAGGUGGAAGAAGGGAUUCAAACGGAAUGCCAAGGUCCAAGCCAGGCUCAGGAAAUCAAAAGGAAGGUUUGGAGUAACGGAGAAGAUGGACUCCAACAUGCUCUAGGAUUCAACAGUUUAUAUCUCUCCUAAAGGCCUUCCCCUUCAAAAGGAAUUCCAGGAUUUGAAGGGCGCACUCACGAGCUGCAGGGGAGCCAAAAGGUACGUCUUCUCUUUUCAUUGCCGUGUUGCUGAAUUUAAUCCAUGAAAUUUAACUGUUGUUUCUGUUUCAUUCGCUAUGCUCCCAAAUGUGCCAAAGGGUCAACCUCAGUCCUGAGACAACCAGAGAUUAAAUACAACUCUGUGAAUCGUCGAAGCGGUUUAAUUUUGAAAGAGACCCUAACUGCGUUUGAAGCUCAGCGUAGAAUUUCCAUCUCUGCAGACUGAUGGCCAGUCAGCAGAGCAAACCCUGAGGGGACGCUGAUGUUUCGUGUAAUUCCUCUGGUCUUGAAAUGUCUAAGCAUUUUGCAAAUAAGCAAUGUGAUGCUAGGCUUAAGAUUUCUGUCUCCGAGUGAAGGGGACUGGGAUUGGCCCUCAGCAAAACCACUGGGCAGAAAAUGGUAUCUUGAACUCUCUUUCCCCUUACUUUAAGCACUGAAUUUUCAUUGCUACCUUCCCUCCUCUCAAGGCUCUGGUCCUUUGCCCACUGGGAGGGAAGAGAUCUGACACACAUUUGACAGCACUGUAUUUUUCCUGUGGAAGCAAUAAAAAUGUCUUCUAGAGUAUAGCA
rnacentral:lncRNA from 12 species